rnacentral:rRNA from 1 species
GACGAACGCUGGCGGCGUGCCUAAUACAUGCAAGUUGAGCGCUGAAGGUUGGUACUUGUCCCGACUGGAUGAGCAGCGAACGGGUGAGUAACGCGUGGGGAAUCUGCCUUUGAGCGGGGGACAACAUUUGGAAACGAAUGCUAAUACCGCAUAAAAACUUUAAACACAAGUUUUAAGUUUGAAAGAUGCAAUUGCAUCACUCAAAGAUGAUCCCGCGUUGUAUUAGCUAGUUGGUGAGGUAAAGGCUCACCAAGGCGAUGAUACAUAGCCGACCUGAGAGGGUGAUCGGCCACAUUGGGACUGAGACACGGCCCAAACUCCUACGGGAGGCAGCAGUAGGGAAUCUUCGGCAAUGGACGAAAGUCUGACCGAGCAACGCCGCGUGAGUGAAGAAGGUUUUCGGAUCGUAAAACUCUGUUGGUAGAGAAGAAUGUUGGUGAGAGUGGAAAGCUCAUCAAGUGACGGUAACUACCCAGAAAGGGACGGCUAACUACGUG